GAGGGUGUAGCUAAGUGGUACAAUUCAUGCUUAGCAUGCACGUGGUCCUGGGUUCAAUCUCCAGUACCUUCA
rnacentral:tRNA from 1 species